rnacentral:tRNA from 1 species
GCCAGUGUGGUGUAGUGGUUUGAAUGUUGGACUAUGGCUCAGGAAACCAGGGUUCGAUUCCCUGCUUGGGCA